rnacentral:rRNA from 1 species
UUUUUUUAGUUAAAAUUUAAAAGUAAUUUCUGCCCUAUGAUUAUUUAAAUGGCUGCAGUAUUUUGACUGUACAAAGGUAGCAUAAUAAUUAGUCUUUUAAUUGAUGACUGGAAUGAAUGAAGAUAUGAGAUUUUUUCUUUAUUUUUAUUAAUAUUUGAAUUUAAUUUUUAGGUAAAAAAGCUUAAAUUUUUUAUCGGGACGAUAAGACCCUAUAGAACUUAAAAAACUUUUUUCUAAUUUUUGGUUUAUUUAAAUUAAUUUUUGUUUUUUUAGUUGGGGUGAUUAAUAAAUUUUUACUACUUUAUUUUUUUAGAUCAUUUAUGAGUGUUUCUUAGAUCUUAUAAUUUAAAUUUUAAGAUUAAGUUACCUUAGGGAUAACAGCGUAAUUUUAAUGGUAAGUUCGUAUUUAUAUUAAAGUUUGCGACCUCGAUGUUGAAUUAAGUUAAUUAAAGGGGGUAGAUUUUCUUUUUAUAAGUCUGUUCGACUUUUAUAAUCUU